rnacentral:tRNA from 1 species
GCAGUGGUGGUUCAGUGGUAGAAUUCUUGCCUUCCAUUCAAGAGAUCCGGAUUCAAUUCCUCGCCAUUGCA